UACGUAGGUUGCGAGCGUUAUUCGGAUUUACUGGGCGUAAAGGGCGCGUAGGCGGUUCGUACAGUCAGACGUGAAAUUCCUGGGCUCAACCUGGGGGCUGCGUUUGAUACGUGCGGACUUGAGUGCGGAAGAGGGUCGUGGAAUUCCCAGUGUAGAGGUGAAAUUCGUAGAUAUUGGGAAGAACACCGGUGGCGAAGGCGGCGACCUGGUCCGAUACUGACGCUGAGGCGCGAAAGCGUGGGGAGCAAACAGG
rnacentral:rRNA from 1 species